AUUGAACGCUGGCGGCAGGCCUAACACAUGCAAGUCGAACGAGUGGCGGACGGGUGAGUAAUGUUUGGGAAACUGCUCGAUGGAGGGGGAUAACGACUGGAAACGGUAGCUAUUACCGCAUACCAUCGUAUGUGCCCAGAUGGGAUUAGCUAGGAGGUGGGGUAAUGGCUCACCGAGGCGACGAUGCCUAGCUGAGAUGAGAGGAUGACAAGCCACACUGGAACUGAGACACGGUCCAGACUCCUACGGGAGGCAGCAGUGGGGAAUCUUGCGCAAUGGGCGCAAGCCUGAUGCAGCCAUGCCGCGUGUGUGAAGAAGGACUUCGGAUUGUAAAGUUCUGUCAGCGGGGAGGCGUUACUCGCGGGAGAAGCACCGGCUAACUCCGUGCCAGCAGCCGCGGUAAUAC
rnacentral:rRNA from 1 species